GCCAGUCAUUAUGGUGGCCAUUUUAUUGAGCAUCGCUGCUAAAAAGGAUGGGAUAUUAAACUAUACCAGUGAUGAACAUUCUUGGAUAUCCUCAACUAGAGAUUUGAUCUGAAUAUUUGUUACAUUUGGGAUUAUGAUUGAAGUUAUCAACAUUUUGAUUCUCGCACAAGGAUAAGGGAGAUGACCAGAGUGCAGCCAAUAGGAGACAAGCAAAUUCAGCAAAUUCGAAUUGGCAUUAGGGCAUGCGUGGUGAUGAUUGCCUUACUGGGUGCCACAUGGUUAUUUGGUCUCCUAUCACCGUUACACGAAGCUUUCGUUUACAUUUUCACCAUCCUCAACUCUUCUCAGGGUUUCCUUAUUUUCGCUCUUCACUGCGCGAAACAACCAGAUUAGAGAGCGGUUCAAAAGAAAACUGAGCACCGUUUCUCCACUUACAAAAAAUGGAAACUCCACAAGGAAAAGCUCACAGGUUAAUCUGAGUGAUAU